AUUGAACGCUGGCGGCAUGCCUUACACAUGCAAGUCGAACGGUAACAGGUCUUCGGAUGCUGACGAGUGGCGAACGGGUGAGUAAUACAUCGGAACGUGCCUAGUAGUGGGGGAUAACUACUCGAAAGAGUGGCUAAUACCGCAUGAGAUCUACGGAUGAAAGCAGGGGAUCGCAAGACCUUGUGCUACUAGAGCGGCCGAGGGCGGAUUAGGUAGUUGGUGGGAUAAAAGCUUACCAACCCGACGAUCUGUAGCUGGUCUGAGAGGACGAUCAGCCACACUGGGACUGAGACACGGCCCAGACUCCUACGGGAGGCAGCAGUGGGGAAUUUUGGACAAUGGCCGGAAGCCUGAUCCAGCAAUGCCGCGUGCAGGAUGAAGGCCUUCGGGUUGUAAACUGCUUUUGUACAGAACGAAACGCCCCGGGUUAAUACCCUGGGGUCAUGACGGUACCGUAAGAAUAAGCACCGGCUAACUACGUGCCAGCCGCCGCAGUAA
rnacentral:rRNA from 1 species